GGCUGCUCCUCCGCCUCUGGGGUUCAGCCUGGGGCUCGGCCAGGCUGGCGGUUGGGAAGGCGAGCAUGGACCCUGGAACCCAUUGUCACACCUACUCCCAACCUUGAUGCCGCGGUGACCUCCCGACAAGCUGGCACCUUCGCCAUGGAGUGGCACACACACCUGCUUCAGGACGAGGAGAAGUUGAAUGGGUGAUGCAGGGAGCUGGAGGCACUGCAGGACCAGAGGCCACCCCUCACCAAGGUGGGCAACACGUCAGUGACAAGGAUGCACUCCAUCCGCCCUUCCGACUUAAUAUGAACAAACAUCUGCUGGCACUUCACUCUCACCCUCCAGACCUCAGGCAGGAUGUCUCUUGCCCCUCACGCCACCCGAGCACCAUUUAGGGGCUGGAAUUUUGGGAGAAGUCCUGUUGACUCAGUGGCACUAUGUUGGUUCCACGGACACAGUGCGAAGCCAGCCCAGAGAUGAAGCGGGAGAAUGCAGCUGAGUGAAGGGAGGGCUUUUUCUUAACUCAGAUGUAUUUCUACCUGACGCAGUUUGAAAAAGAACCUGAAGAGGAGAGUUGUAAAGAUAUUACAGAGAGUUUCCAUAUGACCUUUACUCAGCUUCUGUGGAUGGUAACAUCUCACAUAACCAUGGUUCUGAUCCAGGAUACCCCAUUGCAUCUAGAAGUCCUAACUUUUACUAUUUUUUAAUUUUUUGGCUGCACCCAUGGCAUGCAUCAGUAGUGACCUGAGCCACAGCAGUGACAACCCUGCAUCCUUAACCCUGUGAGCAACCAGGGAACUCCCUAGAAGUCCCAGACUUUUUUUUGUUUGCUUUUUUUAGGGCCACACCUGUGACAUAUAGAGGUUCCCAGGCUAGCGGUUGAAUCAGAGCUAUGGCUGCUGGCCUAUGCCAUGGCCGCAGUAACGCCAGAUCUGAGCUGCGUCUGGGACUCACAACCACAGCUCAUGGAGACACCAGAUCCUUUAACCCACAGAGCAAGGCCAGGGGAUUGAACCCGCAUCCUCAUGGAUACUAAUCAGCAUUUUUCCCGCUAUGCUACCAUGGGAACUCCCCAAGUCCCAGCUUUUAAACAGGGCAUUGAAAGCCUUUUGUGAUCUUGGCCUCUGUUUACGUCCAAGCCCAUCUCUAGCCCCUUGUCACACCCUUUUUUUCUCAGGCCACCCUGAAGAACCUGCAAUUCCUCCAGAGGCCUUUUCUUACUCCUGGGCCUCUGUACAUGCUGUUCUGUCUCUGAGGAGCCCAUUUCCCUGUCUUGACCUCACACUUAUUCAUCCUGAAGCUUCCAUUCAGUCAGCUCUCCUAGGAAGCCUUCUUGGCCAAACCCAUCUGGGCUUGGCCAAACCCUGGGCUUCUCCAGCUGCCCUCUGCUCUCUCCAUCCCUGGAUUUUUGGUAAGGUUUUUUAAUUAAAUUAAAUUAUUAUUUUUCUUUUUUGGCCACCGAGCGGCAUAUGGAGUUCCUGAGCCAGGGAUCAGAUCCGAGCUGCAGUUGUGACCUAUGCCGCAGCUGCUGCGAUACGAUCCUUAAAUCACUGUGUCGGGCCAGGGAUCGAACCUGCAUCCUGGUGCGGCAGAGACGCUGCCCAUCCCAUUGUGCCACAGUGGGAACUCCCAUCCCUGGGUUUUUUUAAUCCCAGAUUUUGAUGAUCUGUUUCCUUGUACUCCUCACUAGACUGAAGAAACUUUGGGCUGGUGCCCUGCUUUAUUUUUCUCUGUAGGAACUCAAUGAAUGCUUGCAAAAUGGAUGAAGUUAGGAAAGAGUCCAUAUCCACAAAAGUGUCAGCGAGAGCUCAGAGGGAGACUCUCCUGGCUGGAGGGGAGCCUUCUUGACUUGAUGGCUUGAUGCUUGCAAAAUGGAGCAGUAAACUAACAUCUACUGAGCACAGAUUCUGUGCUAGGCACGAUUCUCAGUACUUUGCACCCACUAAUUGAAUCCUCACAAAACCCCUCCUAGGUGUGUGCCUGCUUUUCUCCCCAUUUGACAGAUGAAGAAGUACAAGUGAAACAAUUCACCAAGAUGAGCAGUGAUUAGAGGCAGAGCUGGAAUAGACCUGGACUUGCUUCUUCUUUGCUAGACAUUGGGGUGCAUGUGCCCUGUGGACCAGAAAGGGGGCAUGGGUGGUAGGAGGUAGAAUUCCAGGGCGGGACAACUGAUACACCUAAAACAUUUUGGAAGGUAAGCAUGGGUGACCCCACUUCUGGAAGAGUUGCGAUUGUGGGGGGAUGUGUUGUUACCCCCGAGGGUGACAGAUGAUUGGGGGCGGGGGGGGGGGGAUAGCUGUUUUGGAGAUGUGGACCUGGAGGAGGGGUGUGAUUGCAGCCUGGUGGCAGAGGCCACCGAUGCUCUCUGGAAUGUAAGUUGGCUGGGGACUAAUUAAUUAGAAAGCUCUGAGAACUGGAAGCCACCCAAGAGGAGAACGUCUCAAGGAAGGAAGAACUUAGAGGCCCAGAGAAAGCAGAGCCAUCUGGACCGGGGUGGGGGUGGAGUCCGGAAGAGGCUGCUCACGCGAGGUUCUCGUACGAAAUUCUCGCGAGACGAAUGCUGUAGUUCAUCUGGGCCCCUGCAAACUAUCCCCGGGUUUAUCAUUUCUAGCCUGAGAUUUCCUCCAGCGCAUUGGUACAGCUUUGUACCCGAAGUGGAGGUGCACCUCCUCCCAUGAGUAAUAGCUGCUUUUUGUGCAGUGUUUACGAAAAAGGCCUUUUAAGCUCUCUUGCUUCCAAUUCAUUCUUCCAAGGCCCAAAAGAGGUAGGCAGGCCUCAUUUCCAUGUCCUGUUUACAGAUGAAGAAAUGGAGAUGUACUGAGGAAGAUAACUUGCCUGAGGUCACGCAGCUAGAAAGGGACACAAUAAACAUGGAAUAAAUGA
rnacentral:lncRNA from 1 species